rnacentral:tRNA from 2 species
AAAGCUUUAAGUUAAAGAAACUAUUAACCUUCAAAGUUAAAAAUAUAAACAAUUAUAAGCUUUA